rnacentral:miRNA from 1 species
UCAUUUUUGUGUUUAUGCAACU